rnacentral:lncRNA from 1 species
GUCGUGCAGGGCGAUGUCUAGGGAGGAGUUGGCAAGAACGAUGCCUGUUAGUCCACCAAUGGUGAAGAGGAAAAUAAAGCCUAGGGCUCAUAGUAUGGGUGGGUCUCAUUUGAUUGUUCCACCGUGUAGGGUUGCUAGUCAGCUGAAGACUUUAAUGCCAGUGGGGAUUGCAAUAAUUAUGGUGGCGGAUGUGAAGUAAGCUCGGGUAUCUACGUCCAUUCCAACUGUAAAUAUGUGGUGAGCUCAUACGAUAAAACCCAAGAAACCAAUGGAUAAUAUGGCUCAGACUAUGCCUAUGCAGCCAAAGGGUUCUUUUUUACCGGCGUAGUAGGCUACAACAUGGGAAAUAAUUCCGAAUCCUGGUAGGAUAAGGAUGUAGACUUCUGGAUGGCCAAAAAAUCAGAAUAAGUGUUGAUAUAAAAUUGGGUCUCCGCCUCCUGCGGGGUCAAAGAAUGUAGUGUUUAGGUUUCGAUCUGUUAGAAGCAUUGUAAUGCCAGCAGCAAGGACUGGUAGGGAGAGAAGAAGUAGAACUGCAGUAAUUAGGACAGAUCAAACGAAUAGAGGGGUUUGGUAUUGUGAGAGAGCAGGUGGUUUUAUGUUAGAAAAUGUAGCCCAUUUCUACCAUCUCAUGAGCUAUACCUUGACCUGUCUUAUUAGUGAGAUGUUGCUGUUGUGCCCACUGUUAAACCCUCAGUUUUGGGGUGGGCUGACGACGGCGGUAUAUAGGCUGAUUUGGCAAGGUAUGGUUGGGUGUAUCGUGGGUUAUCGGUUAUAGAACAGGCUCCUCUAGGUGGGUUUGGAGCACCGCCAAGUCCUUAGAGUUUUAAGCGUUUGUGCUCGUAGUACUCAGGCGGAUGCUUAAGUGGUGAAAGCAUCAGGAUUUAGGGCCAGGCAUAGUGGGGUAUCUAAUCCCAGUUUGUGUCCUGGCUUUCGUGGAGUUUUGUUGAUCAUGAAGCUAAGAUCAUUUCUAUGGGAGUAUUAGAUGCAUCUUGUGCUUAUAACAGCUUGGUUACAUUUCAGUCUUAGUUGAAGUGAUAGUGGAAAACCACUCUUUACGCCGUAUAAAGUUAAUUUGGGUUUCUUGUGUGACCGCGGUGGCUGGCACAAGAUUUACCAACCCUGGUAGGUUGCUUUAACUAAGUCAAGUUUACACUUAUUGCUUAAUAUUGAUUACUGCUGAAAACCUGUGGGGGCGUGGCUAGGCAAGGCGUUUUGGGCUACAAUCAGAGUGGUGUGCCUGAUGCCUGCUCCUGCUGUCUUUUUAGUGUGCUGAGGGCAUUUUCACUGGGAUGCGGAUACUUGCAUGUAUAUAUUUGGCAAGAACUAACUGUAAGGUUAGGACUAAGUCUUUUUUGUCCUUGGGUAUGUGCAAUAGCCGUCUUAACAUCUUCAGUGUUAUGCUUUAUUGUAAGCUACAGGGACUAAGGCUGUUUUAGGCAUAGUGAUUAUUAUUGGGGCUUGUUUUAGUUGUAGUGAUAGUUGACAUUGAUUUAGGAUUUGUUUAGUGGUUGGAGAAGUAGUACAAUUGGAUAACAAAAAUGUGUUGUUGAGAGGUUAGAAGAUUUAAAAAAAUGGGAAAAAAUCUUGGGAAAAUCUGGGAAAAAUGGGGAAAAAUCUGGGAAAAUCUGGGAAAAAUGAGG